AGAAGAUUCCAUGCAGGAAGUGGCCUGUCUGACAAGUUGUGUUUCAUCUUGGCUAUUUUUAUUGAAGACUGAGGAUCUUUGCUCUAACGGGACACUUCCUACGGCUCCCAUAGGCUCUCAGAGCCCGGGAAAAAGCUGAACGAUAUCGAGGCAGCCUCUGGCUGAAACGCAUUAUCGCUUUUGGCAAGUGGCCGAUCAGAGUACUAUGGGCUUAGGCGCGUGCCCGAGUCGACCCCAUGCUUUAUUUUCUUUUGUCUGUUUACCUAAACGCAGAUUCCCGGUCGGAAUAUUAUCGCUUUUUUAUGAGAAAAAUGGCAUAAAAAUUGAUUUUAAACAGCGGUUGACAUGCUUCGAAGUACGGUAAUGGAAUAUUUAGACAUUUUUUGUCACGAAUUGCGCCAUGCUCGUCACCCUUAUUUACCCUUUCGGAUAGUGUCUUGAACGCACGAACAAAACGCUGCUGUUUGGAUAUAACUAUGGAUUAUUUUGAACCAAACCAACAUUUGUUAUUGAAGUAGAAGUCCUGGGAGUGCAUUCUGACGAAGACAGCAAAGAUCAUAAAGUUUGUAGUGAUUCAGUUUCUGGAUGAAAAGAACAAACCAUAUGCAGUAGUUCCACAAGUAGGGAUCAAAGAUAACAUCUGUUAUUGGCCACCACUCAGCCACAGAAAAAAGAACAAAUUAAACAAUUUAGCCAUCGAGUGUACGCCACCAGACAGCACCUGGGAAAGAAGCUGCUUUAAGUUCAUGAAGGGAGCAGACAAUUGGGAGACGGCACAGAUGUAACAUGAAAACAUUGAGGUGCCAGUGGACGUUAGAGUAGCUGAGUUAAAAGCUUUUCUUCCAGUCGCACCACCAGUCCCAACAUUGCGGUGCCAGCGGACUGACUACACUUUAAGGUGCCAAGAUUCCAAAUACAAGAAAAGCAUCAUAUUCCCUAGCAUCGUAUUCACCACAGCAGCAUGUGGAGGACAGCCAUGGAGGACCUAUAAUGAGACAUUUCAACGGGCCAAAUUAUGGUCGUAGAUAUGAAGGUCAGAACAUACCGACUUCAAAUAUGAACAGUCAUGGAGGUACUGUAUGUGGUACAUCCAUUUAGCCCAGGGUAGAAAUCCGGCAGAAAAACAAAUCACUGAAGGAAGACAGGGCAGAAAUGCAAAGACUCCAGCAGGAAAACAGAACCCUGAGGGAAGAAGUUAAGGUGCUAAGGAGUGGGCAAGCAGAUGUCCACUAUCAUCCCCGUGCCCAAGAAAGGGAAAGUAACUGAACUGAAUGACUACAGACUUCCGUCAUCAUGAAGUGCUUCGAGAGGCUAGUCAAAAACCAUAUCAGCUCCUCCCUUCCCAACCCUCUCCAACUCACCUACCGCCCUGACAGAUAAACGGACAACUCAAUCGCCAUUGCACUGCACUCCCACACCUGGACAAAAGGAAUGCAUAUGUUCAUUGACUACAGCUCGGCCUUCAAUAGCAUAGUGCCCUAUAAGCUCAUUACAAAGCUCACGGCCCUGGGUCUAAACUCCUCCCUAUGCAACUGGGUCCUGGAUUUCCUUGACGGGGCUCCUCCAAGUGCUGAAGGUAGGCAACAUUACCUCCUUGACACUGAUUCUCAACAUGGGUGCCCCAAAGGGUGCAUCUUCAGUCCCCUCCUGUAUUCCCUGUAUACCCACGACUGCGUUGUCUCACACAGUUCCAACUCCAUCACAAAGUUUGCUGAUGAUACGAUAGUAGUAGGGCGGAUUACCAACAACGAUGAGACCGCUUACAGGGCGGAGGUAGGCACUCUGAUGAUGUGGUGCCAGGUAAACAACCUCUCCCUCAAUGUUAGCAAAACAAAGGAGCUGAUUGUGGACUUCAGGAGGAACCAGGCUGGAUACACCCCCAUCCUCAUCAACGGGUCCACUGUGGAGACGGUCAAUAACUUCAAAUUCCUCAGCGUACACAUCUCAGAAAAGCUGAAAUUGUCUAACUACAUGGACACCAUAGUGAAGAAGGCACGACAGCAACUCUUCAACCUUAGGACGCAGAAGAAAUUUGGCCUGUCCCGAGGGCCCUCACAGUGUUCUACAGGAGCAACACGAGAGCAUACUGUCGGGCUGCAUCACAGCCAGGUACGGCAACUCCAUUGCCGCAGAUCGUAAGGCUCUUCAGAGGGUGAUAAAUGCAGGCGAAUGCACCAUUGGGUGCACACUGCCUGACCUUCAGGACACCUACAACACCAGGUGUCGCAAGAAGGCCAAGAAGUUCAUCAGGGACCCCAGCCACCCAAACCAUGCCCUGAUCUCCCCGCUUCAAUCACUCAGACGAAUGCGGGCUGUACAGGAACUGCAGGCGGGCAGUACAGGAACCCCCAACAGUCUUUACUCUGCCUCCACGACAAUGGACAAUUAUUUAUUCAUCACUGUCACAGUUGUUAUCAUGUAUAUAGUCCUAUUUCUAUUGUUGUUUUUUAUUACCAUUUUCUUGAUUUUAUUUCACUUAGUCCUGCAUGUUGGAGAUCGAAGCCUAAGAUUUUCACUGUACCUGUCACGACUUCUGCCGAAGUCGAUGCCUCUCCUUGUUCGGGCGGUGUUCGGCGGUUGACGUCGCCGGUCUUCUAGCCAUCGCCGAUCCAUUUCCAUUUGUUUUGUCUUGUUUCCCACACACCUGGUUCUCAUUUCCCUCAUUAUGUGUUGUGUAUUUAACCCUCUGUUCCCCCCAUGUCUUUGUGUGGUAUUGUUUAUUGUAAGUGCUUGUGCACAUUUGUUUGACUGGUGCGCGUCGGGUUAUUGUGCCCAUAUUUGUAUUUUAAACUGCUCCGGCUAUUACCAAGUUCUGCUCUCCUGCGUCUGACUUUCCUGCUACCAGUUACGCACCGCUUACAGUACCCUGCAAUCACACCUGCAACCCUGUGACUAUUAAACACUCUGAAUCUCCCAUAAUUAGUCCUUUCCCAUAAGACACUAAAACAUCUGGAAAAGUCUUAACGGGAAAAAGUAAUGACCCCUAAAUCCAUCUGUAAAUCCAUACUGACCAGUGCCUUUUAAUAAAAAAAACAUUUCCAUUUUAAACAUCUACCACAAAUUUCCUGUCUCAGGUGAUUAAGAGUAAAAACAGGCCAGGGGAUUUCCGAGGUUACUGGCCCAGGCCAAACUCAAGCAAAGGCCACACGAGCACCGCAAAGUACAUUGCCACACUGG
rnacentral:lncRNA from 1 species